UUAAAUUGAAGAGUUUGAUCAUGGCUCAGAUUGAACGCUGGCGGCAGGCCUAACACAUGCAAGUCGAACGGUAACAGGAAGCAGCUUGCUGCUUUGUUGACGAGUGGCGGACGGGUGAGUAAUGUCUGGGAAACUGCCUGAUGGAGGGGGAUAACUACUGGAAACGGUGGCUAAUACCGCAUAACGUCGCAAGACCAAAGAGGGGGACCUUCGGGCCUCUUGCCAUCAGAUGUGCCCAGAUGGGAUUAGCUUGUUGGUGAGGUAACGGCUCAC
rnacentral:rRNA from 1 species